rnacentral:rRNA from 1 species
AGCCAUGCAUGUCUCAGUGCAUGCCGAAUUAAGGUGAAACCGCGAAUGGCUCAUUAAAUCAGUUAUGGUUCAUUAGAUUGUACCCACAUUUACUUGGAUAACUGUGGUAAUUCUAGAGCUAAUACAUGCAAAACAGAGUCCCGACCAGUGAUGGGAGGGACGCUUUUAUUAGAUCAAAACCAAUCGGUGGCGGGCGGUCGUCCGUUCGUCCACCGUUUACUUUGGUGACUCUGAAUAACUUUGUGCUGAUCGCACGGUCCUAGCACCGGCGACGCAUCUUUCAAAUGUCUGCCUUAUCAACUGUCGAUGGUAGGUUCUGCGCCUACCAUGGUUGUAACGGGUAACGGGGAAUCAGGGUUCGAUUCCGGAGAGGGAGCCUGAGAAACGGCUACCACAUCCAAGGAAGGCAGCAGGCGCGCAAAUUACCCACUCCCGGCACGGGGAGGUAGUGACGAAAAAUAACGAUACGGGACUCAUCCGAGGCCCCGUAAUCGGAAUGAGUACACUUUAAAUCCUUUAACAAGGAUCCAUUGGAGGGCAAGUCUGGUGCCAGCAGCCGCGGUAAUUCCAGCUCCAAUAGCGUAUAUUAAAGUUGUUGCGGUUAAAAAGCUCGUAGUUGAAUCUGUGUCGCACACCGUCGGUUCACCGCUCGCGGUGUUUAACUGGCGUGAUGUGGGACGUCCUACCGGUGGGCUUAGCCUCGCGAGGGGCGGCCCAACUAAUAUCCCGUCG